AGCCUAGUGCCAAAAGUCGUCGACCAAUCAGAAUGUGUUUUCGGCUUCGACCAAUGAGCUCCAGCUUCCCCUGCAUUUUCAUUGGUCGAAGAGAGUGAACCGUUGUGAAGACAAAUGGACAAUCAACGACCUCAGUGUUCAAGAAAAAGCCACAUACAAUGACAGCGUUCCCCUCCCUCCACCAGAAUCCAGCAAGGAAGCAAGUAGUGUUAGAACACCAAGCAGUAAGGCUAAUGCAGACUUUACCACCUAUGGUUAAGACAGCUGGUUCGCCCUCUCUUUGUCCAAGAACAUUCUUUCAAUGGCUCACAGGACAGGAACACAUCAGACCAGUUCGUCUGUGGAUAUUUGUGCCCAUUCAAUAAAUUAGUAAAACAAA